GAUGAACGCUGGCGGCGUGCCUAAUACAUGCAGGUCGAGCGAACGGACUAGAAGCUUGCUUCUCUGAUGUUAGCGGCGGACGGGUGAGUAACACGUGGAUAACCUACCUAUAAGACUGGGAUAACUUCGGGAAACCGUAGCUAAUACCGGAUAAUAUUUUGAACCGCAUGGUUCAAAAGUGAAAGACGGUCUUGCUGUCACUUAUAGAUGGAUCCGCGCUGCAUUAGCUAGUUGGUAAGGUAACGGCUUACCAAGGCAACGAUGCAUAGCCGACCUGAGAGGGUGAUCGGCCACACUGGAACUGAGACACGGUCCAGACUCCUACGGGAGGCAGCAGUAGGGAAUCUUCCGCAAUGGGCGAAAGCCUGACGGAGCAACGCCGCGUGAGUGAUGAAGGUCUUCGGAUCGUAAAACUCUGUUAUUAGGGAAGAACAUAUGUGUAAGUAACUGUGCACAUCUUGACGGUACCUAAUCAGAAAGCCACGGCUAACUACGUG
rnacentral:rRNA from 1 species